ncrna:Ornithorhynchus anatinus (platypus) microRNA oan-mir-200a precursor
GUGGGCAUCUUACUAGACAGUGCUGGAUUUGGGAUCUACUCUAACACUGUCUGGUAACGAUGUUCAA